GACGAACGCUGGCGGCGUGCCUAAUACAUGCAAGUCGAACGAGAGCGACCGGUGCUUGCACUGGUCACUCUAGUGGCGAACGGGUGAGUAACACGUGGGUAACCUGCCCAUCAGAGGGGGAUAACAUCCGGAAACGGAUGCUAAAACCGCAUAGGUCUUCGAGCCGCAUGGCUUGAAGAGGAAAAGAGGCGCAAGCUUCUGCUGGUGGAUGGACCCGCGGUGCAUUAGCUAGUUGGUGGGGUAACGGCUCACCAAGGCCGUGAUGGGUAGCCGGCCUGCGGAGGGGACCGGCCACAAUGGGACUGAGAGACGGACCAGACGCCUACGGGAGGCAGGAGUGGGGAAUAUGGCACAAUGGGCGGAAGGCUGAUGAAGCGAUGCCGCGUGCGGGAUGCCGGCUUUCGGGUUGUAAACAGGUUUCGCCUGUGACGAAGCGUGAGUGACGGUAACGAGUAAAAAAGCACCGGCUAACUACGUG
rnacentral:rRNA from 1 species